rnacentral:lncRNA from 1 species
UUUUGUUUGGUUAUUUCAAGACCAAAAAUCCCACCAUUGGUAACCACAAGGGGACUGAUCAAAAAGACCGUCAGAGUCUAAACUGCGCCAAUCUUCUGGAGAGGAUAAAGAACCGUCAGCUGGAUCCACCAUGCUCAUAAGGUUGGGCUCUUCUUCCAGUCCGAAGUAAUCCGUCCUUAUGGCACUAUCAUCAUCCGAUAAGGCUCCUAGUGCAUGUUCCGAUCUUCCCAUUGAUAAACUAAGCUGCCCUUCUGAAUCAGACUUCACAGUCGUCUCUCCCUUAUCUGAGGCUCCCUCACUGCACCUCAUACCAUUAACUUGUCCGCAACACUGCUCUUCCUCUUUCGGCU